UCGGUUUGGGUGGCGGACGGGUGAGUAACGCGUAAAGAACUUGCCUCACAGCUAGGGACAACAUUUGGAAACGAAUGCUAAUACCUGAUAUUAUGAUUACAUGGCAUCGUAUAAUUAUGAAAGCUAUAUGCGCUGUGAGAGAGCUUUGCGUCCCAUUAGCUAGUUGGAGAGGUAACGGCUCACCAAGGCGAUGAUGGGUAGCCGGCCUGAGAGGGUGAUCGGCCACAAGGGGACUGAGACACGGCCCUUACUCCUACGGGAGGCAGCAGUGGGGAAUAUUGGACAAUGGACCGAGAGUCUGAUCCAGCAAUUCUGUGUGCACGAUGAAGUUUUUCGGAAUGUAAAGUGCUUUCAGUUGGGAAGAAAAAAAUGACGGUACCAACAGAAGAAGUGACGGCUAAAUACGUGCCAGCAGCCGCGGUAAUACGUAUGUCACGAGCGUUAUCCGGAUUUAUUGGGCGUAAAGCGCGUCUAGGUGGUUAUGUAAGUCUGAUGUGAAAAUGCAGGGCUCAACUCUGUAUUGCGUUGGAAACUGUAUAACUAGAGUACUGGAGAGGUAAGCGGAACUACAAGUGUAGAGGUGAAAUUCGUAGAUAUUUGUAGGAAUGCCGAUGGGGAAGCCAGCUUACUGGACAGAUACUGACGCUGAAGCGCGAAAGCGUGGGUAGCAAACAGGAUUAGAUACCCUGGUAGUCCACGCCGUAAACGAUGAUUACUAGGUGUUGGGGGUCGAACCUCAGCG
rnacentral:rRNA from 1 species